rnacentral:pre_miRNA from 1 species
UGGGCUUUUAUGGGGACAUUGCGAACUCGGGGAUUCUCUGUCGUAAUGCCCUGUGAAAUCCCAAA